rnacentral:rRNA from 1 species
CCUACGGGAGGCUGCAGUGGGGAAUAUUGCACAAUGGGCGCAAGCCUGAUGCAGCCAUGCCGCGUGUGUGAAGAAGGCCUUCGGGUUGUAAAGCACUUUCAGCGGGGAGGAAGGCGGUGAGGUUAAUAACCUCAUCGAUUGACGUUACCCGCAGAAGAAGCACCGGCCAACUCCGUGCCAGCAGCCGCGGUAAUACGGAGGGUGCAAGCGUUAAUCGGAAUUACUGGGCGUAAAGCGCACGCAGGCGGUCUGUCAAGUCGGAUGUGAAAUCCCCGGGCUCAACCUGGGAACUGCAUUCGAAACUGGCAGGCUAGAGUCUUGUAGAGGGGGGUAGAAUUCCAGGUGUAGCGGUGAAAUGCGUAGAGAUCUGGAGGAAUACCGGUGGCGAAGGCGGCCCCCUGGACAAAGACUGACGCUCAGGUGCGAAAGCGUGGGGAGCAAACAGGAUUAGAUACCCUAGUAGUC